AGAUUAAGUUAUUAAGGGCGCACGGUGGAUGCCUUGGCACUAGAAGCCGAUGAAGGACGUUACUAACGACGAUAUGCUUUGGGGAGCUGUAAGUAAGCUUUGAUCCAGAGAUUUCCGAAUGGGGAAACCCAGCAUGAGUUAUGUCAUGUUAUCGAUAUGUGAAUACAUAGCAUAUCAGAAGGCACACCCGGAGAACUGAAACAUCUUAGUACCCGGAGGAAGAGAAAGAAAAUUCGAUUCCCUUAGUAGCGGCGAGCGAAACGGGAAGAGCCCAAACCAAAAAGCUUGCUUGUUGGGGUUGUAGGACACUCUAUACGGAGUUACAAAGGACGACAUUAGACGAAUCAUCUGGAAAGAUGAAUCAAAGAAGGUAAUAAUCCUGUAGUCGAAAAUGUUGUCUCUCUUGAGUGGAUCCUGAGUACGACGGAGCACGUGAAAUUCCGUCGGAAUCUGGGAGGACCAUCUCCUAAGGCUAAAUACUCUCUAGUGACCGAUAGUGAACCAGUACCGUGAGGGAAAGGUGAAAAGCACCCCGGAAGGGGAGUGAAAUAGAACCUGAAACCGUGUGCUUACAAGUAGUCAGAGCCCGUUAAUGGGUGAUGGCGUGCCUUUUGUAGAAUGAACCGGCGAGUUACGAUUUGAUGCAAGGUUAAGCAGUAAAUGUGGAGCCGUAGCGAAAGCGAGUCUGAAUAGGGCGUUUAGUAUUUGGUCGUAGACCCGAAACCAGGUGAUCUACCCUUGGUCAGGUUGAAGUUCAGGUAACACUGAAUGGAGGACCGAACCGACUUACGUUGAAAAGUGAGCGGAUGAACUGAGGGUAGCGGAGAAAUUCCAAUCGAACCUGGAGAUAGCUGGUUCUCUCCGAAAUAGCUUUAGGGCUAGCCUCAAGUGAUGAUUAUUGGAGGUAGAGCACUGUUUGGACGAGGGGCCCCUCUCGGGUUACCGAAUUCAGACAAACUCCGAAUGCCAAUUAAUUUAACUUGGGAGUCAGAACAUGGGUGAUAAGGUCCGUGUUCGAAAGGGAAACAGCCCAGACCACCAGCUAAGGUCCCAAAAUAUAUGUUAAGUGGAAAAGGAUGKGGCGUUGCCCAGACAACUAGGAUGUUGGCUUAGAAGMAGCCAUCAUUUAAAGMGUGCGUAAUAGCUCACUAGUCGAGUGACACUGCGCCGAAAAUGUACCGGGGCUAAACAUAUUACCGAAGCUGUGGAUUGUCCUUUGGACAAUGGUAGGAGAGCGUUCUAAGGGCG
rnacentral:rRNA from 1 species